rnacentral:rRNA from 1 species
AUGUGCGGUGUAAGAGUCUCCGGGGAGUCCGACUUCGCCCGUGCCGCCUUCGACCACUUCUCGCCCGUCCUCGGGUCCCAGGAGGACCGUGCCUUCACUCUUGACUCUGACUCCAUCAAUCACAAGUCCUUCGACCUCUCCGCGCUUGAGGUCCCGUUCACCUUCGACGAGAUUUGGGAAGCUGUCAAGAAGCUCCCGUCUGGCAAAGCGCCUGGUCCGGAUGGGUUCACGGCGGAAUUCCUCCGUCCGUGCUGGGACACGAUCAAGUAUGACCUAUGAGCGGUUUUCGACAAGCUAUACACGCUCAAUGGGAGGGCUUUCUAGCGGCUGAACGAAGUACUCAUCACGAUGAUCCCGAAGAGGCCUGACGCUACCACACCGCUCGACUACCGCGCGAUUAGCCUUAUCCAUAUUGCCGCGAAGCAGUUUGCCAAGGUUCUCUCGCUCCAGCUUGCCCCACGGCUUGGAGAGAUGGUCUCCUCCAACAAGAGUGCCUUCAUCGCGGGACGGAGCGUCCAUGACAAUUUCAUCCUUGUCCAACAAACAGUCGGGUCGUCCUUAUUAAGCUCGACAUCGCCGUGCUUUCGACUCUGUCUCCUGGCCGUUCCUGAUCCAGAUCCUCGAGCACUUGGGUUUUGGGCCUCAGUGGCGCGAGUGGGUGUCCAUCCUCAUCUCGACAGCAUCCACGCGGGUGAUGGUCAAUGGCACUUCUGGCCCACCUAUCUUCCACCAGCAGGGACUUCGACAAGGUGA